rnacentral:tRNA from 1 species
AGGAUAAUAGUUAAUAAUAACACUUGAUUUGCAUUCAAAAAGUACUGAUACCAGUUUAUCUUG